rnacentral:rRNA from 1 species
UUUAAAGCGAAUAAGGGCGCAUGGUGGAUGCCUAGGGUCUGAGAGGCGAUGAAGGACGUGGUAAGCUGCGAUAAGGCAGGGGGAGCUGCACACGAGCGUAAUAUCCCUGCAUUUCCGAAUGGGACAACCCAGUACAUUGAAGAUGUAUUACCCGCAAGGGAGCCAACCCGGAGAACUGAAACAUCUAAGUACCCGGAGGAAAAGAAAAUAAGAAUGAUUCCCAGAGUAGUGGCGAGCGAAAAGGGAAGAGCCCAAACCAAAACAGCGUGCUGUUUUGGGGUUGUAGGACUUCGUUUAGAAAGUAAUGUCAAGUCGAACCAUCUGGAAAGUUGGACCAUAGCAGGUGAAAGUCCUGUAGACGGAAAUCAUUAUGGACGAGAAGUAUCCUGAGUAGCGCGGGACCGGAGGAAUCCUGCGUGAAUCUGCCAGCACCAUCUGGUAAGGCUAAAUACUCCUCAGACACCGAUAGUGAACCAGUACCGUAAGGGAAAGGUGAAAAGCACCCUGAACAAGGGAGUGAAAUAGUACCUGAAACCGUGCGCCUACAAGCGGUCGGAGCC